GACGUAGGGCGCGAGCGUUGUCCGGAUUUAUUGGGCGUAAAGGGCUCGUAGGCGGUUUGUCGCGUCGGGAGUGAAAACACCGGGCUUAACUCGGUGCUUGCUUUCGAUACGGGCAGACUAGAGGCAUGCAGGGGAGAACGGAAUUCCUGGUGUAGCGGUGAAAUGCGCAGAUAUCAGGAGGAACACCGGUGGCGAAGGCGGUUCUCUGGGCAUGUCCUGACGCUGAGGAGCGAAAGCGUGGGGAGCAAAACGG
rnacentral:rRNA from 1 species